rnacentral:rRNA from 1 species
UGGGGAAUUUUGCACAAUGGGGGGAACCUUGAUGCAGCGACGCCGCGUGAGGGAUGGAGGCCUUCGGGUUGUGAACCUCUUUCGCUCGUGUGCAAGCCGCUAUUUGGGUAGUGGUGAGUGUAGCGGGUAAAGAAGCGCCGGCUAACUACGUGCCAGCAGCCGCGGUAAUACGUAGGGCGCGAGCGUUGUCCGGAUUUAUUGGGCGUAAAGGGCUUGUAGGCGGUUUGUCGCGCCUGUCGUGUAAUCCUCUGGCUUAACUGGGGGUGUGCGGUGGGUACGGGCAGGCUUGAGUGCGGUAGGGGGGAUUGGAAUUCCUGGUGUAGCGGUGGAAUGCGCAGAUAUCAGGAGGAACACCGGUGGCGAAGGCGAGUCUCUGGGCCGUUACUGACGCUGAGGAGCGAAAGCGUGGGGAGCGAACAGG